UCUUGGUGACAUUGUUUUUUCCAGGUGAAUAAUGCAGCUAUUGGGGGAAUAGCAUCGAAUACUCAGCUACUGGAUUCCUCCAAGCAAGCGCCAGUUAGCUCAUCAGGCCUGGCAAAUGCAAUUGUAGAGACUUAUGAAUUAGCCGAAGAUUGCAUCAACACAAACUAUUAUGGUCCAAAAAGAGUGACAGAGGCAUUUAUCCCUCUGCUUCAGUCAUCCCAAUCACCAAGGAUAGUGAAUGUAUCCUCACUCUAUGGGAAACGGCAGUACAUCCACAGCGAAAGAAUCAAAGAAGAGCUAAGGAAUG